AUGGUCUGAAAAAAGGCUACUGUGUGGUUGAACCCAGAAACCUGGGUGCAUCCCUGUACCAGUCAGCCUGAUUUUGACCUAGAGUAAAUUCCCAGGAAUUUUGCAGUAACAGGUGUGAGCAUUCUAGCAGCAAUUUGAUGAUCAUGUAUAAUACUGCAAACAAUA